rnacentral:lncRNA from 1 species
UCCCUAUCAGGGCAUCUUCCAAAUUCAUCUGCACAAGAAUUGUCUGCAUCUUUAUCUACCAUAACGCGAAUCUGGUAUUAUGAUCCAACAACAGAAUUUCAUACUUCAAUGAUGCCAUUACCGUGACCAAGAUAAGCAAUCCGAAAAGCUCUGACAGCAAUUUGUGAAAAAAUAAAACGUCAAUAAUGGCAAUGUAUUGAAAAGAAAAGAAACAAAAAAACC